AAAAACAUGUCCUUUUGAUUAAAAUUUAAGGUCUAACCUGCUCAAUGAAUUUUAAAUAGCCGCAGUAUAUUAACUGUGCAAAGGUAGCAUAAUCAUUAGUUUUUUAAUUGAAAGCUGGAAUGAAAGGUUGAAUGAGAAAAUAGCUGUCUCUAUAAAAAUUUUAUAGAAUUUUAUUUUUAAGUAAAAAAGCUUAAAUUUUUGUUAAAGACGAGAAGACCCUAUAGAGUUUUAUAUUAUAAGAUUAUACAAUUUUUUAGUAUUUUAAAAUUUAUUUUUUUUGUAGUAUUUAAUUGGGGUGAUUAGAAAAUUAACUAAACUUUUCUUUUAAAUUUACACUUAUUUGUGAAAUUAUGAUCCUUUUAUAAAGAUUAUAAGAUAGAAUUACCUUAGGGAUAACAGCGUAAUUUUUUUUGAGAGUUCAAAUCGAAAAAAAAGAUUGCGACCUCGAUGUUGGAUUAAAAUUAAUUUUUGGUGUAGAAGCUAGAUAAAUUAGGUCUGUUCGACCUUUAAAAUUUUACUUGAUCUGAGUU
rnacentral:rRNA from 1 species